GACGAACGCUGGCGGCGUGCUUAACACAUGCAAGUCGAACGGAAAGGCCCCUUUGGGGGUACUCGAGUGGCGAACGGGUGAGUAACACGUGAGUAACCUGCCCUUGACUUCGGGAUAACUUCAGGAAACUGGGGCUAAUACCGGAUAGGAAUCCUUGCUGCAUGGUGGGGGUUGGAAAGCUUCGGCGGUUUUGGAUGGACUCGCGGCUUAUCAGCUUGUUGGUGGGGUAGUGGCUUACCAAGGCUUUGACGGGUAGCCGGCCUGAGAGGGCGACCGGCCACAUUGGGACUGAGAUACGGCCCAGACUCCUACGGGAGGCAGCAGGGGGGAAGAUUGCACAAUGGGCGGAAGCCUGAUGCAGCAACGCCGCGUGCGGGAUGACGGCCUUCGGGUUGUAAACCGCUUUCAGCAGGGGCGAAGCUUGUGGUGACGGUACCUGCAGAAGAAGCACCGGCUAACUACGUG
rnacentral:rRNA from 1 species